AUCUCCUUUGCAACAGCAGAGGGUUUAAAACAACCACCCGAAAGGACAUAACCCGAAAGAUCUAUUCGGAAUGAGAAUAAACACCGAGAAGGGCCGGUGUUCCACGCCACGGCCCCGAGUGGGAAUCAAGGUCAAAGUCUCUGUUGCUUCAAGUUUAGAGCUAUCAAAGGCAGCUGAGUAAGAGGGCUUCAUCUGGUGGACAGCAGUGUUGGAUCCAGCAAGUGCCGUCACUCUACUUUGGGAGAAAUAAAGUUCAUCAUCAAAAUCCUGGGAGCCAGUUACAAAAAAGAAGCGGUUCAAAAGUGGGUUUUUUAUCCUCAGCCAAAUGUGACGAAACAAAGUGAUGCUUUCUGGCAGUAUGAGUCAGCUUAGGAGUGGAGGGUUUAUUCUAAUAAUGCAGCAAUGCAGGAUCAGUAAAGAAUUACAGCCAUGGCAACCAGGAGGCACAUUUUCAGCGUGUUUUUUGCAUUUUUCACCUUUGUCUGUGUCUCCUCACCUAAAGCAAAGUAUAUCACAGAACGGCUUCCUGACAGUGUGGGCAAACCCCUGCCUGUGCACAUGGGGCCAUCUUCUCCUACUGUGGAAAGAAACUCUGGGGUCUCAGCCUCUGUAGUGGGUAACGUGCCCAGGAAAGGAGAUGCAUGGGAUAUUCCAAAGAGGUGGGUGUACAGGCAGAGCAGGAACUUCUCUACAUAGGCAGUUCAGCAUAUUCAGAGCUACCAUAUACCCAGGUUUUCUUGCAGAAUCCACCUUUUUCCACCUCUACAGACAUCUCUAGGGGAGGCAGAAAAACAAGGACUUUACCUAUGUGAUUAGGGAUGCAGGUAAGACGACCCCGGGAACACAAAAUAGUCCAUUUUUGUGUCCCCAGUACCUACCAACCUAGCAGCAGCAGGAUCUGGCAUGCUGGGUGACAGGUACAAAUAAUCAGUUAGAAGUUUUAGCUGCAUUGUCCACUAAGACAAGGCUUGUGAAGUUCCAGUGUCUGUCCAGCUGCCUGCGGCAAUGUGUGGCUCUGCCAGUCACUUUCACCCGGUCUUGAUGGGGGAGGUGUUUCAAAGAAACCAGCUUCACAGGCUCCUAUGAGCAGCUCCAUGACUGUUUGUCCCCAUCUGUCCCAAGCAGCUUAUUAACUCCAGCCCAGAUGAUCUGACAUUCAGGUAGACUGAAUCUGAUUUUCCAGCUGAGGGAGCCCUCAGAUCUCUGCCGUUUCUAACCAGAUUUCAUCAUGGAAAGCAUGUUGCCCUCCGAGACCUGAUCUUCAAUAUCAGAAGCUGAAAGCACCAAGCAUGCCCAGCUUCUGGCUGAAGGAAACUCAGACCUUUGCUUAGACCUGUCUGCAAAAUGGGGAGGAGGAAGAGCAUUAGAGCAGCCCUGAGACACAGCACUGACCAGAGGUCUGAUCUGGGGUGCCCGUGUAUGACCUGGGGCACAGCUCCUCCUCUGCAAGUCCGGCACUCACGGGCUGCUGGCCCCCCACCGAAAUGCAGACUGUGCCAGGGGAACCUGCAGCAGUGAGAUGCUGGUGCCACUUGAGUGAACUGAUUUGGCCAGGCAUGUGGGAAGGCAGACACCUGGGAAGCUGCAGAGGCUUUGAGGAUAAAAUAGAGAAGGAUGAAAAAAUAAGGAGGGGAAGAAACAAAUAGAAAGGACUCCCUGAUAUUUUUUGAAAUGUUAGGCCUGGUUCCAGAGGUGGAAAAAUGGCAUUCAAUUUUCUCAAGGUAUUUUCUUUUUCAGAAAUUAGAAACUUGAACUACAAGUUUCACAUUUUAAAUCUAAUGGGAAAAAAAAAACAAACCUCACUCAAAAGCAACAUUCUUGCACAACAAGGGACUUAAAAAGAAUUAUAAAAUCCCUUCUUUUGAGAGAGGAACAUUUUUAAGUCACAAAAUUCUAAGUAGCUCUGUUCCCCACUGUAGUUGCUUUAGGACAUGCCCAAAGCAUGUCCAUGUGUACAUGAAGCUGUCAUUUGCACUUCUUUGGGAUGUCUUCAGUGUUGGCCUUGAAGCUGCAGGAGAUCCGCCUUGUUUCCUUCUCAGCAGAAGGGGAUACAAAAUACCACGCUACCAUCCAAGAAAUGGGAGUACAAGCAUGGAGGCACACAGACCCACAACACUGAAAUUUAAAGCCAUGGAGCAAUUCUACAGUGCUGUUAAUAUAAUUUGAUGUUAAUUUCUGAUCAUGCAUUUGUAUUCAUGGUCUUUUUAUUUGCUAGGAUCCCCUAGCAAUCUUUAAUAAAAAAAAAUAUAUAUUCAUUUCCCACUUGAGAUCUCAGAGGAACAGUAGGAUCUGGAUAAAUUAGGCACAACCCAGCAAAAGUGGGAAUAUCCAUCAAAAGUUUGUUCCUUUGAUUCCAAAGCCCAGUUGACCACAACAUGUUGUUUGUAGGUGCCAGGAGAGAAACAACCAACGAGAAAAGAUUUGUUUGCAUGAGCUCUGUACACCAGAAAGCCCUGAUGAAUCCGUCACAGGGGAAAAAUGAGAGUAGUCACAGGCUGCCUUCCCCGCCCAUGGGAUGCAAGAGGUGAAGUGCAGCAAUAAGGCAGUCAAGGGGGGCAGUGGGACA